rnacentral:piRNA from 1 species
UCCAAAAUGGGUUGUCUUCAUUCUGUGGG